CGCGGAUGUACCCAAGUGGAUCAAGG
rnacentral:tRNA from 1 species